rnacentral:rRNA from 1 species
GAUGAACGCUGGCGGCGUGCCUAAUACAUGCAAGUCGAGCGAACCACUUCGGUGGUGAGCGGCGAACGGGUGAGUAACACGUAGGUGAUCUGCCCAUCAGACGGGGACAACGAUUGGAAACGAUCGCUAAUACCGGAUAGGACGAAAGCUUAAAGGUGCUUCUGGCACCGCUGAUGGAUGAGCCUGCGGCGCAUUAGCUAGUUGGUAGGGUAAAGGCCUACCAAGGCGACGAUGCGUAGCCGACCUGAGAGGGUGAACGGCCACACUGGGACUGAGACACGGCCCAGACUCCUACGGGAGGCAGCAGUAGGGAAUCUUCGGCAAUGGGCGAAAGCCUGACCGAGCAACGCCGCGUGAAUGAUGAAGGCCUUCGGGUUGUAAAAUUCUGUUAUAAGGGAAGAACGACUUUAGUAGGAAAUGGCUAGAGUGUGACGGUACCUUAUGAGAAAGCCACGGCUAACUACGUGCCAGCAGCCGCGGUAAGAC